UACGUAGGGGGCAAGCGUUGUCCGGAUUAUUGGGCGUAAAGAGCGUGUAGGCGGCUAGGUAGGUCCGUUGUGAAAACUCGAGGCUCAACCUCGAGACGUCGAUGGAAACCAUCUAGCUAGAGUCCGGAAGAGGAGAGUGGAAUUCCUGGUGUAGCGGUGGAAUGCGCAGAUAUCAGGAGGAACACCAAUAGCGAAGGCAGCUCGCUGGGACGUUACUGACACUGAGGCGCGAAAGCGUGGGGAGCGAACAGG
rnacentral:rRNA from 1 species